rnacentral:rRNA from 29 species
UGGCGGCCGUAGCGCGGUGGUCCCACCUGACCCCAUGCCGAACUCAGAAGUGAAACGCCGUAGCGCCGAUGGUAGUGUGGGGUCUCCCCAUGCGAGAGUAGGGAACUGCCA